rnacentral:lncRNA from 1 species
AGGGAAAAACUGAUAUCAUUACUUACUGGCUCGUCAGAAAAAGUGGCGAUGCAAAUCAUCGAGUUCACGAACUUGAUACAGAUAAACGACAAGGAAGACAGGGGGACGGGAAUGAAGAAGACUUCCCAGGGGAAAUUGCUGCAGUGCAAGAAUCAAAUGAAUACGUGCCUGCCAAGAGUAAUGGAAAGACUAAAGAGGAUAACAGGAACACCGCUAGAGUUGCACCAACAGUUGCGGAAAAAGAAAAAGAGAAGAAAGC